GUUGGUAAGAAAAAUUGAGCACAUCAAAUGGACCAGAGUGAUACCGUAUUUUUGUUAAUGUCCACUACGAAACGGGUCAAAUCUCCUUCAGUAUCUGGUUUUAAAAUUAUGAAAAAAAAUAUCAGUGUACAGCUUAAUAAAUGCAUUGAUGAAUACAAUCAGUCUUGUUACUAUUGCAAUAUAGGGAUUGUGGGGAAAAAAAUAAAACAUG
rnacentral:lncRNA from 1 species